ensembl:snRNA U6 U6 spliceosomal RNA
UUGUGCUCACUUCAGCAACAGAUGUAUUAAAUUGGAACAACCCAAAGAUUAGCAAGUUCCCUGCAAAAGGAUGACACAUAAAUUCAUGAAUCAUUCUAUAUUUUU